UGGAAAUCCACUGAGGCUGACUCAGAAAAUCUAAAUUUUGCUGCUUUCCCAGAUUUCUGAAUCCUGGAAGCAUGGAAAACUCCCUGAUAUCUGAGAUAUGCAAGUAGUCUCCCAGCAUAUGAUGUGAAUACUGACAUCUUAAAUGUUCCAAAAUUUCCUGCUUUUGCCUCCCUUGAUGUUGAUAUCAGUGGAAAAGAGCAUAUUCUACAUGACUCCAGAAGUUAAGCAUUGUAUUUUAAUGAACUUGCAGUUCUUCCCUUAGAAAUAGAAGAUAUAAAACUGAAACUACUACAGAUUCUCAUGUGACUAUUAGAACACCUGGCAGUCAAAUGAAACACCGUCUCAAGAAGAUUGGUUGUAGACAAAAUUUGCACGGACACCAAAGGAUCUGUUCCUCCAAACAACUCCUGUUUUCCUGGGCAUCUGUCUACUGGUCACAUUUGGAGGCCCUGGGAGGGUAAUGUGCUUUGAAGAUUUUGUUUCCUGCUCAUUGCCUGAAUGGGAAACUGCUGAGUUUCAUCUCCUCCCUGCCAUAGUUAUCUCCGGGACAUUAGAAAAGAUCCCGAGCCCCAAAGGUUGGAUUAAGAUCUUCACUGCUUCAACAGCUGAGGUCAGUGGCUCCUGUCAUUUGGUCAGCACUUCUUCCCACUCAGUCUGAGACAGGUUCCAAAUAGAAUCCCUCAGCCUAACAAGCAAGCAGGUCUUCGAGGCAGCUGUUUCUGCUCUUGUGCCCCUAAUGAAUGAGCCCUAA